UGGUCGGUAGUGUAAUGGAUGCAUAGGAGAAUGUCGUUCUUAAGGAUCGGGUUCGAUUCCCGGCUGACCAG